rnacentral:rRNA from 1 species
AGUGAACGCUGGCGGUAGGCCUAACACAUGCGAGUCGAACGGCAGCACAGUAAGAGCUUGCUCUUACGGGUGGCGAGUGGCGGACGGGUGAGGAAUACAUCGGAAUCUACUUUUUCGUGAGGGAUAACGUAGGGAAACUUACGCUAAUACCGCAUACGACCUACGGGUGAAAGCAGGGGAUCUUCGGACCUUGCGCGAUUGAAUGAGCCGAUGUCGGAUUAGCUAGUUGGCGGGGUAAAGGCCCACCAAGGCGACGAUCCGUAGCUGGUCUGAGAGGAUGAUCAGCCACACUGGAACUGAGACACGGUCCAGACUCCUACGGGAGGCAGCAGUGGGGAAUAUUGGACAAUGGGCGCAAGCCUGAUCCAGCCAUACCGCGUGGGUGAAGAAGGCCUUCGGGUUGUAAAGCCCUUUUGUUGGGAAAGAAAAGCAGCAGGUUAAUACCCCGCUGUUCUGACGGUACCCAAAGAAUAAGCACCGGCUAACUUCGUG